rnacentral:rRNA from 1 species
GGUUAAGCGACUAAGCGUACACGGUGGAUGCCCUGGCAGUCAGAGGCGAUGAAGGACGUGCUAAUCUGCGAUAAGCGUCGGUAAGGUGAUAUGAACCGUUAUAACCGGCGAUUUCCGAAUGGGGAAACCCAGUGUGAUUCGUCACACUAUCAUUAACUGAAUCCAUAGGUUAAUGAGGCGAACCGGGGGAACUGAAACAUCUAAGUACCCCGAGGAAAAGAAAUCAACCGAGAUUCCCCCAGUAGCGGCGAGCGAACGGGGAGCAGCCCAGAGCCUGAAUCAGUGUGUGUGUUAGUGGAAGCGUCUGGAAAGGCGCGCGAUACAGGGUGACAGCCCCGUACACAAAAAUGCACAUACUGUGAGCUCGAUGAGUAGGGCGGGACACGUGGUAUCCUGUCUGAAUAUGGGGGGACCAUCCUCCAAGGCUAAAUACUCCUGACUGACCGAUAGUGAACCAGUACCGUGAGGGAAAGGCGAAAAGAACCCCGGCGAGGGGAGUGAAAAAGAACCUGAAACCGUGUACGUACAAGCAGUGGGAGCCUCUUUAUGGGGUGACUGCGUACCUUUUGUAUAAUGGGUCAGCGACUUAUAUUCUGUAGCAAGGUUAACCGAAUAGGGGAGCCGAAGGGAAACCGAGUCUUAACUGGGCGUUAAGUUGCAGGGUAUAGACCCGAAACCCGGUGAUCUAGCCAUGGGCAGGUUGAAGGUUGGGUAACACUAACUGGAGGACCGAACCGACUAAUGUUGAAAAAUUAGCGGAUGACUUGUGGCUGGGGGUGAAAGGCCAAUCAAACCGGGAGAUAGCUGGUUCUCCCCGAAAGCUAUUUAGGUAGCGCCUCGUGAAUUCAUCUCCGGGGGUAGAGCACUGUUUCGGCAAGGGGGUCAUCCCGACUUACCAACCCGAUGCAAACUGCGAAUACCGGAGAAUGUUAUCACGGGAGACACACGGCGGGUGCUAACGUCCGUCGUGAAGAGGGAAACAACCCAGACCGCCAGCUAAGGUCCCAAAGUCAUGGUUAAGUGGGAAACGAUGUGGGAAGGCCCAGACAGCCAGGAUGUUGGCUUAGAAGCAGCCAUCAUUUAAAGAAAGCGUAAUAGCUCACUGGUCGAGUCGGCCUGCGCGGAAGAUGUAACGGGGCUAAACCAUGCACCGAAGCUGCGGCAGCGACGCUUAUGCGUUGUUGGGUAGGGGAGCGUUCUGUAAGCCUGUGAAGGUGUGCUGUGAGGCAUGCUGGAGGUAUCAGAAGUGCGAAUGCUGACAUAAGUAACGAUAAAGCGGGUGAAAAGCCCGCUCGCCGGAAGACCAAGGGUUCCUGUCCAACGUUAAUCGGGGCAGGGUGAGUCGACCCCUAAGGCGAGGCCGAAAGGCGUAGUCGAUGGGAAACAGGUUAAUAUUCCUGUACUUGGUGUUACUGCGAAGGGGGGACGGAGAAGGCUAUGUUGGCCGGGCGACGGUUGUCCCGGUUUAAGCGUGUAGGCUGGUUUUCCAGGCAAAUCCGGAAAAUCAAGGCUGAGGCGUGAUGACGAGGCACUACGGUGCUGAAGCAACAAAUGCCCUGCUUCCAGGAAAAGCCUCUAAGCAUCAGGUAACAUCGAAUCGUACCCCAAACCGACACAGGUGGUCAGGUAGAGAAUACCAAGGCGCUUGAGAGAACUCGGGUGAAGGAACUAGGCAAAAUGGUGCCGUAACUUCGGGAGAAGGCACGCUGAUAUGUAGGUGAAGCGACUUGCUCGUGGAGCUGAAAUCAGUCGAAGAUACCAGCUGGCUGCAACUGUUUAUUAAAAACACAGCACUGUGCAAACACGAAAGUGGACGUAUACGGUGUGACGCCUGCCCGGUGCCGGAAGGUUAAUUGAUGGGGUUAGCGGUAACGCGAAGCUCUUGAUCGAAGCCCCGGUAAACGGCGGCCGUAACUAUAACGGUCCUAAGGUAGCGAAAUUCCUUGUCGGGUAAGUUCCGACCUGCACGAAUGGCGUAAUGAUGGCCAGGCUGUCUCCACCCGAGACUCAGUGAAAUUGAACUCGCUGUGAAGAUGCAGUGUACCCGCGGCAAGACGGAAAGACCCCGUGAACCUUUACUAUAGCUUGACACUGAACAUUGAGCCUUGAUGUGUAGGAUAGGUGGGAGGCUUUGAAGUGUGGACGCCAGUCUGCAUGGAGCCGACCUUGAAAUACCACCCUU